GUAGAAUUUAUCAACAUACAGGUAUUCGUUUUAUUUCUCCCCCUCACCAUUAUUGGGGUGUGAGGGUAGCCAGGGUUAUUUCAUUUUAAAAGAGAGAGGGUGGCUGGGGGACCCCCAGUUAACUAGGGAAGGAGGUGGCUAUGACACUAUUUGGGCGUAGGUGGACAAUGGGAUGUAUUGUCGCCAAUGGGUGGAGGCCGAGGUGACUACAGUAGGUUACCCCUUGUUCUUUUAUUAAAUAGUGAUCCACCCCCCAUAAUUUAUUUUUUAAGUCUUCCACCCACAGUUCCGCUCUUGUUAUUUCACAGGCAGGGAUUAAGUCUAUCUAGCAACUGGACUGCCGUGGCUGCCCAGUCGCUAGUUUCAGAUAUAUAUUGACCCCGUAG